AAAGUGCGUCGUAGUCCGGAUUGGAGUCUGCAACUCGACUCCAUGAAGUCGGAAUCGCUAGUAAUCGUGGAUCAGAAUGCCACGGUGAAUACGUUCCCGGGCCUUGUACACACCGCCCGUCACACCAUGGGAGUGGGUUGCAAAAGAAGUAGGUAGCUUAACCUUCGGGAGGGCGCUUACCACUUUGUGAUUCAUGACUGGGGUGAAGUCGUAACAAGGUAACCGUAGGGGAACCUGCGGUUGGAUCAC
rnacentral:rRNA from 1 species